rnacentral:rRNA from 1 species
GUAGUCCACGCCCUAAACGAUGUCAACUAGCUGUUGGGGGCUUCGGCCCUUGGUAGCGCAGCUAACGCGUGAAGUUGACCGCCUGGGGAGUACGGUCGCAAGAUUAAAACUCAAAGGAAUUGACGGGGACCCGCACAAGCGGUGGAUGAUGUGGAUUAAUUCGAUGCAACGCGAAAAACCUUACCUACCCUUGACAUGUCUGGAAUCCUGAAGAGAUUUGGGAGUGCUCGCAAGAGAACCGGAACACAGGUGCUGCAUGGCUGUCGUCAGCUCGUGUCGUGAGAUGUUGGGUUAAGUCCCGCAACGAGCGCAACCCUUGUCAUUAGUUGCUACGAAAGGGCACUCUAAUGAGACUGCCGGUGACAAGCCGGAGGAAGGUGGGGAUGACGUCAAGUCCUCAUGGCCCUUAUGGGUAGGGCUUCACACGUCAUACAAUGGUCGGGACAGAGGGUCGCGAAGCCGCGAGGUGGAGCCAAUCCUAUAAACCCGAUCGUAGUCCGGAUUGUAGUCUGCAACUCGACUACAUGAAGUCGGAAUCGCUAGUAAUCGCGGAUCAGCAUGUCGCGGUGAAUACGUUCCCGGGUCUUGUACACACCGCCCGUCACACCAUGGGAGUGGGUUUUACCAGAAGCAGGUAGUCUAACCGCGAGGGGGACGCUUGCCACGGUAGGAUUCAUGAC